rfam:Flavobacteria bacterium GWA2_35_26 gwa2_scaffold_8, whole genome shotgun sequence.
CCCGCAGACCGCCUUAUCGCCGUCCUGAUUUAUUAGGAGGGAGGAAAGUCCGGACACCAUAGAGAAGCAUAGCGGGUAACACCCGUCGGUUCGAGCAAUCGGAUUAGGACAAGUGCAACAGAAAGUAUGUACAGGUAAUGCUGUAGUGAAACCAGGUAAACUCUAUGCGGUGAAAUAUCAAGUAUAUCAGCAUUUAAGGGCUUCUCGUCCGUUGUUGAAGGGUAGAUAGCUUGAGUCUUGCAGUAAUGUAAGAUCUAGAUAAAUGAUAAGGCUCCGUUUACGGAGACAGAAUCCGGCUUAUAGGUCUGCUUUUUUU